UACGUAGGGACCGAGCGUUGUCCGGAUUCACUGGGCGUAAAGGGUGCGUAGGUGGUUAGGUAAGUCCGAUGUGAAAUCUCCAGGCUCAACCUGGAAAUGGCAUUGGAUACUAUUUAGCUUGAGGAGUGGAGGGGGGACUGGAAUUCUCGGUGUAGCAGUGAAAUGCGUAGAUAUCGAGAGGAACACCAGUGGCGAAGGCGAGUCCCUGGACACUUCCUGACGCUGAGACGCGAAAGCGUGGGGAGCGAACAGG
rnacentral:rRNA from 1 species